rnacentral:rRNA from 1 species
CCUACGGGUGGCAGCAGUGAGGAAUAUUGGUCAAUGGACGAGAGUCUGAACCAGCCAAGUAGCGUGAAGGAUGACUGCCCUAUGGGUUGUAAACUUCUUUUAUAAAGGAAUAAAACGAGGCACGUGUGCCUUUUUGCAUGUACUUUAUGAAUAAGGAUCGGCUAAGUCCGUGCCAGCAGCCGCGGUAAUACGGAGGAUCCGAGCGUUAUCCGGAUUUAUUGGGUUUAAAGGGAGCGUAGAUGGGUUGUUAAGUCAGUUGUGAAAGUUUGCGGCUCAACCGUAAAAUUGCAAUUGAUACUGGCAGUCGUGAGUACAGUUGAGGUAGGCGGAAUUCGUGGUGUAGCGGUGAAAUGCUUAGAUAUCACGAAGAACCCCGAUUGCGAAGGCAGCUUACUAAACUGUGACUGACAUUGAUGCUCGAAAGUGUGGGUAUCAAACAGGAUUAGAUACCCGGGUAGUC